rnacentral:rRNA from 1 species
GAAGCCGGGCACUCUGGAAGACUGCCAUCGACAAGAUGGAGGAAGGUGGGGACGACGUCAAGUCAUCAUGGCCCUUAUGUCCAGGGCGACACACGUGCUACAAUGGCCGGCACAACGGGAAGCGAGUUCGCGAGGACGAGCGGAUCCCUUAAAGCCGGUCGCAGUUCGGAUUGAAGUCUGCAACUCGACUUCAUCGAAGCUGGAAUCGCUAGUAAUCGCAGAUCCAGCCAAGCUGCGGUGAAUACGUUCCCGGGCCUU